AUUGAACGCUGGCGGCAGGCCUAACACAUGCAAGUCGAGCGAGCGGCGGACGGGUGAGUAAUGUAUGGGGAUCUGCCCGAUAGAGGGGGAUAACUACUGGAAACGGUGGCUAAUACCGCAUACCAUCGGAUGUACCCAGAUGGGAUUAGCUAGUAGGUGGGGUAAAGGCUCACCCAGGCGACGAUCGCUACCUGGUCUGAGAGGAUGAUCAGCCAUACGGGAACGGAGACACGGUCCAGACUCCUACGGGAGGCAGCAGUGGGAAAUAUUGCACAAUGGGCGCAAGCCUGAUGCAGCCAUGCCGCGUGUAGGAAGAAGGCCUUAGGGUUGUAAAGUACUUUCAGCGGGGAGGCGUUACCAGCAGAAGAAGCACCGGCUAACUCCGUGCCAGCAGCCGCGGUAAUAC
rnacentral:rRNA from 1 species